rnacentral:rRNA from 1 species
UACGGGGGGGGCAAGCGUUGUUCGGAAUUACUGGGCGUAAAGGGCUCGUAGGCGGCCAACUAAGUCAGACGUGAAAUCCCUCGGCUUAACCGGGGAACUGCAUCUGAUACUGGAUGGCUUGAGAUUGGGAGAGGGAUGCGGAAUUCCAGGUGUAGCGGUGAAAUGCGUAGAUAUCGAGAGGAACACCUGCGGCGAAGGCGGGUUGCUGGGCCGACACUGACGCUGAUGCGCGAAAGCCAGGGGAGCGAACGGG